rnacentral:rRNA from 1 species
CAGCAGCCACGGUAAUACGAAGGGGGCUAGCGUUGUUCGGAAUUACUGGGCGUAAAGGGCGCGUAGGCGGCCAUUCAAGUUAGAUGUGAAAGCCCUGGGCUCAACCUAGGAAUUGCAUUUGAUACUGUUUGGCUUGAGUUCGGGAGAGGUGAGUGGAAUUCCCAGUGUAGAGGUGAAAUUCGUAGAUAUUGGGAAGAACACCAGUGGCGAAGGCGGCUCACUGGACCGACACUGACGCUGAGGCGCGAAAGCGUGGGGAGCAAACAGGAUUAGAUACCCGCGUAGUCCCUGUCUCUUAUAU